rnacentral:rRNA from 1 species
UACGUAGGUGGCAAGCGUUGUCCGGAUUUAUUGGGUUUAAAGGGUGCGUAGGCGGUGACCUAAGUCAGUUGUGAAAUCCUUCAGCUUAACUGGAGAGGUGCAAUUGAUACUGGGUUACUUGAGUACUGAUGAGGUAUGCGGAAUGGACGGUGUAGCGGUGAAAUGCUUAGAUAUCGUCCAGAACACCGAUAGCGAAGGCAGCAUACUAAGGAGUAACUGACGCUGAGGCCCGAAAGUGUGGGGAUCAAACAGG